UACCAUUCAGUUGAAAAUUGCAAAAAUUACACUUUCACACCCCUCGCACCGGAACUCUUGCAAAAAGACUUCCGGUAUGUAUUUUUCCAAACCGGAAGACUUUAGGAAAGACUUCCGGAACACAAAAAAAGCAAACCGGAACACUUAAGGAAAGAGUUCCGGUUCAGAUAAAAAAAAAUUCAAAAAAAUUUGCAUACCGGAACUCUUUGGAGAAGUGUUCCGGUAUGCAUUAUGUGUGUUCCGGAAGUCUUUCCUAAAGUCUUCCGGUACGUUUUUUUUUUAAUUUUUUUUUUUUUUUACAGAAAUGAGGGUAUUUUGGUCAAAAAAAAUUUAAUGUAGGGGUAUGGGUACAAUUGUAGGGGUAUAGGGUAAAAUUUUC
rnacentral:lncRNA from 1 species